GCCAGGAAUGCAGAAAGGAGUGAGAGAUGAAUGCUGCUCUGCCGUGCUGCUGACGGCUUUGAGAAACUGCAUCAGUCUCUGCUAGCUUCAAAUGACAGAGCAGGAGGUUACUGGCCUGUGUAUGUCCAUGUGCUUCCAAGGCUUUAGCAUCUCAGAACAUAGAUUGGAAAGGACCUCAAAGCAAGUCUGUCUAAAGCAGGUUCCCCCCUUCCUUAGUGAGAGCUGGAUUCAAGGAAACUGGAGCUUCUGCUAUUUGUAAUUAGCUUUGUGAACAGUUGCAAUUAGACAUUUGGAAAAUGCAGCAUUUUGCUUUCCCUCAGAAGAACAGGAAGUCCACCCCUCUGCCUUCUCCUCUUCCUGAUGCCACGAUUGCAACUUUUACCUUCUGUGUGGAGCUGAGAGCAGGUAUAUGAAAGUUGCUGUGCAGCCUGUCCCCCUGGCACUGGCAAA